rnacentral:rRNA from 1 species
CAGUCGCCGCGGUAGGACAGAGGAUGCAAGCGUUGUCCGGAAUUAUUGGGCGUAAAGGGCUCGCAGGCGGUUUCUUAAGUCUGAUGUGAAAGCCCCCGGCUCAACCGGGGAGGGUCAUUGGAAACUGGGAAACUUGAGUGCAGAAGAGGAGAGUGGAAUUCCACGUGUAGCGGUGAAAUGCAUAGAGAUGUGGAGGAACACCAGUGGCGAAGGCGACUCUCUGGUCUGUAACUGACGCUGAGGAGCGAAAGCGUGGGGAGCGAACAGGAUUAGAUACCCCCGUAGUCCCUGUCUCUUAUAC